rnacentral:rRNA from 1 species
AUUGAACGCUGGCGGCAGGCCUAACACAUGCAAGUCGAGCGGAGCGGCGGACGGGUGAGUAACACGUGGGUGACCUGCCCUGCACUUCGGGAUAAGCCUGGGAAACUGGGUCUAAUACCGGAUAGUGUGGGAUGGGCCCGCGGCCUAUCAGCUUGUUGGUGGGGUAAUGGCCUACCAAGGCGGCGACGGGUAGCCGGCCUGAGAGGGUGGACGGCCCAAUGGGGACUGGGACACGGCCCAGACUCCUACGGGAGGCAGCAGUGGGGAGUAUUGCACAAUGGGUGGAAGCCUGAUGCAGCGACGCCGCGUGGGGGAUGACGGCCUUCGGGUUGUAAACUCCUUUCACCAUCGACGCGGUAGAUGGAGAAGAAGCACCGGCUAACUACGUGCCAGCAGCGCGGUAAUUC